rnacentral:rRNA from 1 species
ACGCUCGACACCUACGGGGAGGCAGCAGUGGGGAAUAUUGCACAAUGGAGGAAACUCUGAUGCAGCGAUGCCGCGUGAGGGAAGAAGGUUUUCGGAUUGUAAACCUCUGUCUUUGGGGACGAUAAUGACGGUACCCAAGGAGGAAGCUCCGGCUAACUACGUGCCACAGCCGCGGUAAUCUGAGCGGGCUGCAAGGC